rnacentral:rRNA from 1 species
GUAGGGAAUAUUGGGCAAUGGUCGGAAGCCUGAUCCAGCCAUGCCGCGUGCAGGAUGAAGGCCUUCGGGUUGUAAACUGCUUUUGUACGGAACGAAAAGACUCCUUCUAAUAAAGGGGGUCCAUGACGGUACCGUAAGAAUAAGCACCGGCUAACUACGUGCCAGCAGCCGCGGUAAUACGUAGGGUGCAAGCGUUAAUCGGAAUUACUGGGCGUAAAGCGUGCGCAGGCGGUUAUAUAAGACAGAUGUGAAAUCCCCGGGCUCAACCUGGGAACUGCAUUUGUGACUGUAUAGCUAGAGUACGGUAGAGGGGGAUGGAAUUCCGCGUGUAGCAGUGAAAUGCGUAGAUAUGCGGAGGAACACCGAUGGCGAAGGCAAUCCCCUGGACCUGUACUGACGCUCAUGCACGAAAGCGUGGGGAGCAAACAGGAUUAGAUACCCUGGUAGUCC